ensembl:snoRNA
AGGAAUGAUGAUUUCUCAGACUAGAGUCUCUGACGCUGGUCCUGAAGCCCAAAAUUAAGUUCUAACUC